rnacentral:rRNA from 1 species
UACAGGUGAUGCAAGCGUUAUCCGGAAUGAUUGGGCGUAAAGCGUUUGUAGGUGGUUUCGCCAGUCUAUUGUUAAAGAGUACAGCUCAACUGUAUAAAGGCAAUAGAAACUACGAGGCUCGAGUGUGGUAGGGGCAGAGGGAAUUCCCGGUGUAGCGGUGAAAUGCGUAGAUAUCGGGAAGAACACCAAGAGCGAAAGCACUCUGCUGGGCCAACACUGACACUGAGAGACGAAAGCUAAGGGAGCGAAUAGG